AUGCGAACAGCCGUCUCCACUUUGUUCACAUUCUGGCCUCCUUUACCUCCAGCUCUCGUAAAACUUAUGUCCAGAUCCUCUUCAGGAAUUUCUACAUCCAAGGAUUCCUCUGGUAAAAGAGGCAUGACCUCAACACCAGCAAAGCUGGUCUGUAAAAAUUAG
rnacentral:rRNA from 1 species